GAUGAACGCUGGCGGCGUGCCUAAUACAUGCAAGUCGAGCGAACGGACGAGAAGCUUGCUUCUCUGAUGUUAGCGGCGGACGGGUGAGUAACACGUGGAUACCCUACCUAUAAGACUGGGAUAACUUCGGGAAACCGGAGCUAAUACCGGAUAAUAUUUUGAACCGCAUGGUUCAAAGGUGAAAGACGGUCUUGCUGUCACUUAUAGAUGGAUCCGCGCUGCAUUAGCUAGUUGGUAAGGUAACGGCUUACCAAGGCAACUAGGCAUAGCCGACCUGAGAGGGUGAUCGGCCACACGGGAAGGGAGACACGGUCCAGAGUCCUACGGGAGGCAGCAGUAGGGAAUCUGCCGCAAUGGGCGAAAGCCUGACGGAGCAACGCCGCGUGAGUGAUGAAGGUCUUCGGAUCGUAAAACUCUGUUAUUAGGGAAGAACAGAUGUGUAAGUAACUGUGCACAUCUUGACGGUACCUAAUCAGAAAGCAACGGCUAACUACGUG
rnacentral:rRNA from 1 species